rnacentral:tRNA from 1 species
UUAAUUGAAACCAAAGAUGAGGUAUAUCACUGUUAAUGAUAAAAUUGUAUUUUAAUACCAAUUAAA